CUCUUCCUGUCUUUUGAUUUGAAGUAUGACCUGCCCACUGAUGUGAUUGAAGGGCCGCGGUAUUCUGACCGUGCAAAGGUAGCAUAAUCAUUAGUUCUUUAAUUGUGAGCUGGCAUGAAUGGUUUGACGAGGUAUUGACUGUCUUUGGAUUGGAUUUAUUGAAUUUGUUGUCUGGGUAAAAAUACCUAGAUUUUUUUAUGGGACGAGAAGACCCUAUAGAGUUUUAUAUAAUGUGUUCUUUUUGGUUUGUUUAUUUUAGUGGGCUGUUUAUAUUUCGUUGGGGUGAUGAGAAGGUAAGUGUAACCCUUCUUUUUUAAUUUCACUUAUUUGUGUUUUUGUGAUCCUUUAUUAUUGAUUAUAAGAUUAAAUUACCUUA
rnacentral:rRNA from 1 species